UAUAUAUGUGUGUGUGUGUAUAUAUACAUAUACAUACACAUACAUGUAUAUAAAAGUAUAUAUAACCUUAUUGCAGGUUGCUGGCAUAUAUUAUUCACCAUUUCACCGUGGUUUUACUGGAGCUCGCCGCAAGGGCUAGUUCCAACAGAGAGACAUUGGACACAGAGUAUGGAAAAACAUUGUGAAGCUUUCCUGGAGCAGGUCAUCCACAGCAUCUCAGGCUUGCUGGGCUCUCUGAGGUCUCAUACAGUGUCGCCCCUCAACCACUCAUUUUUUGGUGCAUUUCGGAAAAGGUGGAACUUUUUUGUCAUUAUUCAUUACAAGUGGGGAACCUGAGACCUUAAUGGUACUAAUAUUAAGAUUUCCAAGGAAAUAGGUGAUGACUCCAAUUACCUGAGGAAAAGAGACAAACCCUUUGGUAACUUAAACCAGUAGCAAUAGUUAUUUUGUUUGCUGUUUUUUACCCCUUCCUUUAGAGGACUAAUCUCUGCCUUAUUAUUAUAUGCUUAGCAUAUAAACAAACUCUCUUUGAUUUCAUCCUUCUGGAUGCAACUAAACCUUAGCCUUUCUCAGCUGAAUUAUCAGCAGAUCUGGUAACGCUCGUGCAGAGCAGUGGCAAUCUCAUACUCAGCAUCAGUUACGAGGUAUCGUGCUGGGGCAAUGGCUCUUCUUGGGAUGGUUCUACUGCUCCUCACUCUCAUACAACCCAAGCGUACAGGCGUCCUGUGAGGCCUUGUCAAGGAUGCCUUGACCUUAAGAGACAACUGCUGAGUGAAAAAAAGGUGUUCAGUCACCAACCUUCUCCCAGCUCUUGUGGGUCUUAUGAUGAGUUUCACCCGGGUAUACAGCAAUAUAUUGUUUUAUACAAUAAACCAAACACUAGGGGCACUGCAAGGAUAUAACUCUCCAACGGCCAAAUGUUCCCCUUUUUCCUUGCAUUAAAACUGCUAUGUCCUUACUGAAGUAAGGACUUCACUGUUCUGCUGGACAUUAGUAAAAUUCACAAGCCCUAGAUUUCCAGAGCAGGCUGCAUUACCUAAUGUCUUCUGCUAAAUAGCUUUUAUAAAAUAAAAUCCAUACAUAAAUCCAAAGGAAAUAAAUCCCUCAGUGGGCCUAGGGCCAGUGCCAUUUAAAUCCCUCUUAGACUGUACCGAGGGGUGGUGUGUGAGCCUUGCACUACAUGGGGGAGAUGGGAACUGCCCCCACAGCAUCUUCUCCCAGGCAGAAGGCACAGCACAACCUCCAGGUUUGAGCAUAACACCCUCAGCUCCUGCUCUGAGGACAAAGGGAAUGGAUCAGUCUGGACAUUUUGUAUUGCCAUAUCACUGCUGCUGUUCUCCUUAAGAACUGUAUGGCCUAAUCAAGUCCCAAAACUUAGAUGGAUAAAAUUAAUCAAUAUAAAUCUGUCUUGCAGUGAUCUUCUAAAGAGAGUUUCAACAUUUUUUACAAAAUAGGUAAAGAUAUACCUGAAAAUAAUAAUAAUGAGCUGUUUCAAAGCUGGUAAUUUAAACAGAGUGGUUACAGUGUCCACAGCACAGGCACCAUUGACCCUGUGCCAAAUAUAAUGUCUACUUUUGUUAAGCCUUAUAAUGUCUAUUUCUGUUAAGCCUUUUAGCUCUGUUAAUCCUUUUGGUCAGAGUAAAGAGUGAUAUAUUGGAACACUAAUUUGGAAAGCAAACAGAAAAUUAUGAGAAUGAACAGGCUAUGCUUGUGCAGUAUGAAGGAUCUAAGGGCAGAAGAAAAGCACAGGACACCUAAGAGCCUUAAAAGCAUUAGUACAGUCACCAGGCAUGGAGUGGUCACUACACUGAGUAGCUGGUUUGAGAAGUCCAGAUAAAAGUAUGUAACUUAUAUUUUAAAAUAUGAAAAAGAACAAAAUUUAGCCCUUGUCACAUGAAAACUUAAACCCAUACAGGAGAAAUGUGUCACUGCUGUAGACGCUGUGGCACGGUGUUUAUGAUGAAAUGGUUUUUAAUACCUUGGAGAUUAUGAUCCUGUGCCAUAGGUAGAAGUUGCAUUUCUCAAAGCUUCUGAGUGCUGGUGGCAGCUUUCCAAGAAAGACACCAGAUCCUGAAGUCCUCUUUGCAAGUCACCUUCAAAAACCAGCAUGGCCUGCAGUCACCCACGGCUGAACUCUUGCACCUCUACAAGAACUGCGUGUUCUCUUGAGGAGAAUCCAAGUUGCAGAAGUGUUUGUAAAGCAUUGUAUUAAAUAAUGGAAAGCAGCUACUUUCUAAGUGACGGAAAUCUGUAGGGAAUAUGCAUCACGCAAAUUCUGGGAGGAAUACAGACCUUCAGUGACAUACUAGUAUCAUGCUAUUAAAAUUUAAAAAUACUUUUCG